GACGAACGCUGGCGGCGUGCCUAAUACAUGCAAGUAGAACGCUGAAGGAGGAGCUUGCUUCCCUGGAUGAGUUGCGAACGGGUGAGUAACGCGUAGGUAACCUGCCUGGUAGCGGGGGAUAACUAUUGGAAACGAUAGCUAAUACCGCAUAAGAGUAGAUGUUGCAUGACAUUUGCUUAAAAGGUGCAAUUGCAUCACUACCAGAUGGACCUGCGUUGUAUUAGCUAGUUGGUGGGGUAACGGCUCACCAAGGCGACGAUACAUAGCCGACCUGAGAGGGUGAUCGGCCACACUGGGACUGAGACACGGCCCAGACUCCUACGGGAGGCAGCAGUAGGGAAUCUUCGGCAAUGGACGGAAGUCUGACCGAGCAACGCCGCGUGAGUGAAGAAGGGUUUCGGAUCGUAAAGCUCUGUUGUAAGAGAAGAACGAGUGUGAGAGUGGAAAGUUCACACUGUGACGGUAUCUUACCAGAAAGGGACGGCUAACUACGUG
rnacentral:rRNA from 1 species